rnacentral:rRNA from 1 species
AAAUUGAAGAGUUUGAUCAUGGCUCAGAUUGAACGCUGGCGGCAGGCCUAACACAUGCAAGUCGAACGGUAACAGGAAGCAGCUUGCUGCUUCGCUGACGAGUGGCGGACGGGUGAGUAAUGUCUGGGAAACUGCCUGAUGGAGGGGGAUAACUACUGGAAACGGUGGCUAAUACCGCAUAACGUCGCAAGACCAAAGAGGGGGACCUUCGGGCCUCUUGCCAUCAGAUGUGCCCAGAUGGGAUUAGCUUGUUGGUGAGGUAACGGCUCACCAAGGCGACGAUCCCUAGCUGGUCUGAGAGGAUGACCAGCCACACUGGAACUGAGACACGGUCCAGACUCCUACGGGAGGCAGCAGUGGGGAAUAUUGCACAAUGGGCGCAAGCCUGAUGCAGCCAUGCCGCGUGUAUGAAGAAGGCCUUCGGGUUGUAAAGUACUUUCAGCGGGGAGGAAGGUGUUGUGGUUAAUAACCGCAGCAAUUGACGUUACCCGCAGAAGAAGCACCGGCUAACUCCGUGCCAGCAGCCGCGGUAAUACGGAGGGUGCAAGCGUUAAUCGGAAUUACUGGGCGUAAAGCGCACGCAGGCGGUCUGUCAAGUCGGAUGUGAAAUCCCCGGGCUCAACCUGGGAACUGCAUUCGAAACUGGCAGGCUUGAGUCUUGUAGAGGGGGGUAGAAUUCCAGGUGUAGCGGUGAAAUGCGUAGAGAUCUGGAGGAAUACCGGUGGCGAAGGCGGCCCCCUGGACAAAGACUGACGCUCAGGUGCGAAAGCGUGGGGAGCAAACAGGAUUAGAUACCCUUGGUAGUCCACGCCGUAAACGAUGUCUACUUGGAGGUUGUGCCCUUGAGGCGUGGCUUCCGGAGCUAACGCGUUAAGUAGACCGCCUGGGGAGUACGGCCGCAAGGUUAAAACUCAAAUGAAUUGACGGGGGCCCGCACAAGCGGUGGAGCAUGUGGUUUAAUUCGAUGCAACGCGAAGAACCUUACCUGGUCUUGACAUCCACAGAAGAAUCCAGAGAUGGAUUUGUGCCUUCGGGAACUGUGAGACAGGUGCUGCAUGGCUGUCGUCAGCUCGUGUUGUGAAAUGUUGGGUUAAGUCCCGCAACGAGCGCAACCCUUAUCCUUUGUUGCCAGCGAUUAGGUCGGGAACUCAAAGGAGACUGCCAGUGAUAAACUGGAGGAAGGUGGGGAUGACGUCAAGUCAUCAUGGCCCUUACGACCAGGGCUACACACGUGCUACAAUGGCGCAUACAAAGAGAAGCGACCUCGCGAGAGCAAGCGGACCUCAUAAAGUGCGUCGUAGUCCGGAUUGGAGUCUGCAACUCGACUCCAUGAAGUCGGAAUCGCUAGUAAUCGUGGAUCAGAAUGCCACGGUGAAUACGUUCCCGGGCCUUGUACACACCGCCCGUCACACCAUGGGAGUGGGUUGCAAAAGAAGUAGGUAGCUUAACCUUCGGGAGGGCGCUUACCACUUUGUGAUUCAUGACUGGGGUGAAGUCGUAACAAGGUAACCGUAGGGGAACCUGCGGUUGGAUCACCUCCUUACCUUAAAGAA